rfam:Papio anubis isolate 1X1155 chromosome 2, whole genome shotgun sequence.
AUCUAUGUGCAUACCACCCUGAAGGGGCCUGAUCUUGUCUGAUCUUGGAAGCUAAGCAGGGUCAGGCCUGGUUAAUACUUGGAUGGGAGAAAAGUGAUGCCCCAAGGAUCCUGUGACACACAAGUA